rnacentral:misc_RNA from 2 species
AACGCACAUUGCGCCCUGUGGUAUUCCGCAGGGCAUGCCUGUUCGAGCGUCAUUAUAACCAAUCAUGCCUGGCAUGGUGUUGGGGCACGCGGUCUCGCGGCCCUCAAAAUCAGUGGCGGCGCCGGUAGGCUCUAAGCGUAGUAAUUUCUCUCGCUAUAGGGUCCUGACGGUUGCUCGCCAGAACCCCCACUUCUUAAGGUUGACCUCGGAUCAGGUAGGGAUACCCGCUGAACUUAA